CCUACGUGAGGCAGCAGUAGGGAAUAUUGCUCAAUGGGGGAAACCCUGAUGCAGCAACGCCGCGUGGAGGAUGAAGUUUUUCGGAUUGUAAACUCCUUUCGUUAGAGAAGAUAAUGACGGUAUCUAACGAAUAAGCACCGGCUAACUACGUGCCAGCAGCCGCGGUAAUACGGAGGGUGCAAGCGUUAUCCGGAAUCACUGGGCGUAAAGAGCGCGUAGGCGGGAGAGCAAGCCAGAUGUGAAAUCCGAUGGCUUAACCCUAGAACUGCAUUUGAAACUGUUCUUCUAGAGUAUGGGAGAGGCAGGCGGAAUUCUUGGUGUAGGGGUAAAAUGCGUAGAGAUCAGGAGGAAUACUCAGUGCGAAGGCGACCUGCUAGAAGAUAACUGACGCUGAUGCGCGAAAGCGUGGGGAGCAAACAGGAUUAGAUACCCGUGUAGUC
rnacentral:rRNA from 1 species